UGGGGAAUCUUGCGCAAUGGGCGGAAGCCUGACGCAGCAACGCCGCGUGCGGGAGGAAGGCCUUCGGGUUGUAAACCGCUUUCAGGAGGGACGAAGCUACCUGGGUUAAUAGCCCGUGGGGUGACGGUACCUCCAGAAGAAGCCCCGGCUAACUACGUG
rnacentral:rRNA from 1 species